AAACAGAGAGGAACAACAAAAAACAAAUCUCAUCAUUUGGAACACUGGCACCAAUGGCGGACACUCCCAGAAAGAUCCACCUGACAGAGCA